rnacentral:lncRNA from 1 species
AACCAACAGACAUCUAAGGUUAUGGAUGGAUGGACUGAGAAAGAAACCAAAAGAGAAGUUACACAUUGUGUGAGAAGGAAAUGGCAGAAAAAAACACAACCCUUUGUCAAGAAAACAUUUGAGCCACAUUCAAUAAUUCAGAUGGGAUAAGGGUUCAAGAAAUUGUUUCCACAAAAAAAAAAAAAAGGAAUUUUGGUAAGAAAUUUAUAUAUAUAAACCAUAAAUAUGUCAACUUCUUGCCUCCCUCUCCCCAUAUAUUAUUUUUCGCAUUUAUCUCUUCAUUAUUUUCUUCUGGCUUUAAAUACAUUCCUUUUAUUUUCUUGCUUGUAGUUUGUGAUACCUCAGUUACUUACCUUCAUCUCUCUAUCAUAACUCAUAGCAGCCAUGGAGUCGAGUUCAGAUGCUACCCAGAGAAUUGCAAGAAUUUCAGCUCAUCUCAACCCUCCAAAUUUUCAGGUUUUUCUCUUCCCGUGAAUUAUUUGAAUUUUAGCAUCCUGGUACUUGCUGGCCCUUUCUUUGUAUGUGUGACCAUGAGCAAUCGUUUCUUGCAUCAUUAUGGACUAUUCAUGUGUUUUAUCUUGUGGCAUUCCCAAUAUUCUUCUUGGGUAAUGAACUAAAAGCCUAAUUUAUACUCUUAAAAAAAAAAAAGCCUAAUUUAUACAUUUUUUCUUCAAUUGGAUAUGCAUAACCAUUAGGUUUGUCUGGGGUCUGAUCAAAUCUUUCAUACGUCCUGUCUUUACAACUUGUUUUAACCUAUUUCAGUUUAUGUCUAUUGAAAAUUGAAGUAAUUGUAAAGAUUAACCUCAAGUUUACUUUUAAACCAUUUAAUGGGUUUUGAUUGUGCUGUGAAUGUUGUAUGGAUUGUGGCUUUUCAUUAGAUGGAGGGAAAUUCUGUUCUGAAGAGAACUGAUUGCCGGGCGAAAGGUGGGGCACCUGGGUUCAAGGUGGCUAUCUUGGGUGCUGCUGGAGGCAUUGGCCAACCUCUUGCAUUGCUUAUGAAGAUGAACCCAUUAGUCUCAGUUCUUCAUCUCUAUGACGUUGUGAAUGCCCCUGGUGUCACUGCUGAUAUUAGCCACAUGGACACUGGUGCUGUGGUAAUCAUCAACACUCAUUAAUUAGUUUCAUAUUUGUGAUUGAAUUAUUGUCAUUUUGUAAAUCAAUAUUAUUAUUCUUAUUAUUAUUUAGUUAAUUUGGUUUCAGCUUGAGUUUGAAUUUGCAGUGUUGGAGACAUCUCCAGUGCAAUUCAACCAAAGUUUUGCAAAUUAAAAUAUUUUCUGAGAUUAAAUAUAGGGAUUUGAGUGGAUUCUUGGAGAAAAUUAGUGAACUGUUUUUUCUUUUCCUUUUUUAGUUUAUGGCUUUAGUUGAACUGCUGCAUAUAAUUUUCUGAAGUUUUAUAGUCAUUCAGCCAAGUAGAACAUAGUGGCUUGGACUCUGAACUCUAAAGAAAUUGAUGCUAAUCGUUAAAUUUGGGUUCCUAGGUUCGCGGUUUCCUAGGACAGCCACAGCUUGCAAAUGCACUGACAGGUAUGGACCUUGUAAUCAUACCUGCUGGUGUGCCAAGGAAGCCUGGAAUGACUAGGGAUGAUCUUUUCAAUAUUAAUGCUGGGAUUGUCAGGACUCUCUGUGAAGGAAUUGCCAAUUGCUGUCCCAAAGCAGUGGUGAAUUUGAUCAGUAAUCCUGUUAAUUCCACAGUACCGAUUGCAGCUGAGGUUUUCAAGAAAGCUGGAACUUAUGACCCAAAGAGACUUCUAGGAGUUACAAUGCUUGAUGUUGUGAGAGCAAACACUUUUGUGGUACGCAUUGAAGAAUAGGGUUAACUCUCAAAUGUUCAAUGUUCAUUUAGAUAAAGUGCUUACACAGUGAUUUGCAAGGUAAGAAUAUGGUCAAAUAUUAAUAAUUCAGUGUCAUGGUUACAGGCAGAAGUUCUGGGACUUGAUCCUAGGGAAGUUGAUGUUCCAGUUGUUGGAGGUCAUGCAGGAGUUACAAUUUUACCUCUUUUGUCACAGGUACUGGAGAUUAUUUGCCAAAUGUCAACUCAACAUUAAUUAGAUGUUUUAAUUGUUAGUAUCCAACUAUUUGGCACAUAUGCUCUCUUUGCAGGUUAAGCCUCCCUCCAGCUUCACCCCAGAAGAAAUCGAAUAUCUAACAAAACGAAUUCAAGAUGGUGGAACAGAAGUUGUUCAGGUAAGACUUGAAAAUUAAAUAUGAACAGAUUUUGUUUGCCGAUGGUACAUCUCCAUACUAAUAGGUGUUACUAAUCAAGAUUGCCAUAGUUACGAUCUUUCAUUAAGUGCGAUAUUUUCAGUCAAUAAUCUCUCAUUAUAUUAUAUUUCCUAAUGCAUUGUUCCUAGGUAUACCUUUCCUAAUGUACAAGUUGCAUGAAUUGCUUACAGUUAUCUGCUAUAUUUUCUAUUCCAUUUGCAGGCAAAAGCUGGGGCUGGCUCUGCAACACUGUCAAUGGUUAGCCAAUUUUGUUUCCUGUUUUUUAUCAAUUUUGUAACUUUACUUGUAUCAUCCAGAAAUUUCUAAUUGAUGAACAUGCUGAAGAAAAUAAAAAAAAGCCCCACAUGAUAUUUACAGGCAUAUGCAGCUGCAAAAUUUGCUGACGCUUGCCUUCGAGGCUUGAGAGGAGAUGCUGGCAUUGUGGAAUGCUCAUUUGUAGCUUCUGAGGUACAUUAUCAAGCCCCUUUUUUAUGAGCAACUUAAUAAUUUCUACAUGAUCUUUUUAAUAAGCUAGCAUAUGGUUUGUGACAGGUGACAGAGCUUCCUUUCUUCGCAUCCAAGGUGCGACUUGGUCGUAAUGGAGCUGAGGAAAUUUAUCAACUUGGCCCUCUGAACGAGUAUGAGAGGUACGAAUAGAAAAACACUAUCAAAUUUACUAAUAUUUAGCAACAAAGUAUUAGUAAAUAACUGUUCUGUUUAUUCCUCUUAUGACUCUCAAACAGAAUUGGCUUAGAAAAGGCGAAGAAAGAGUUGGAAUCAAGCAUUCAGAAGGGAACUUCCUUCAUCAGGAAAUAGUUUCAUGUUUACGAAAAGCUUAUUAUCGUGUAAAUUUGUCGAGUUCGUUAUAGGAAAUCCUCUUGUAUGUAGACCUUUUCACGGUUAAUCCUCCGAAUAAAUUUUAGCUGAUAAACAUGUUUUUCAGCUUAAGCAGAGGGGAGUCUGUAGUUGGUGGAAUUAUUCAGACAUGAACAUUUUCUUUUACUAGUUAAUUAGCUUUUUUUUAUAAAAAAAAAAAAAAAAAAAAAAAUUGUUAAGUACAAGAACAUUAACUAAAAACCACUUUGAUGUGAAUCCUUGCUUGUUUUUGGCAUAAAUUAAUUAAAACAUAACGAUUUUUCCAUGCAGCUGGAGUGAAAAUAUCCCUGACCUUUAUUAUUUCUUUGCAUUUUGUUUACAAAUAUACAUCUCAUCAUAAAUAUAUGUUUGGGGGGAAAAAAAAGCACAAGAUUUACACUCGCUAGUAACUUUGGGCAAAAUAAGUUACAAGGAGAAGGGGUUAGAGGGCGGGUGAACUGUAGGUAUCUUAGACACCGUCACAUUUCCCUGGAGAACAUUAGAUGCUACAGUAUCUUCCACAACCACAGGGUUAACCUGCAUUACCCUCUCAGGCACAACUUUGUCUCCAUCAACCUUAGCCAGAACCUCAAAAUGCAUCCUGACAGACUCGGGCUUUGUCCUCCACUCAGGAAAGUUUUGCCAAUCAAAAUCCCCUUCUUUCAACUUCUUCUCAACCCCAAAUCCGAUCUUCACGAAUGUCUGAGCUGACACAUCUGCCUUCAACAACUUGAAGGAGCCUUUCUUAUUUGCCCUAGGACCCAACACAGCAGCCAGCAAUUUCUCAAAACCUAGCAAAUUCACGUUCGAGCCAUUCACAGAACCAAAAGGCCACAUUGUAGUGAAAUGCUUAGGAGUUAAGACUGCUGUGGCUUCAUCCAAAUUAACAGGGGAGAGUGCAUCAACAGGCUGGAAUUUUGCACUUUUGGAUAACUCCACGAGGCCUGGGGCGAGGCGUUUUAGCUUGAGCCUGUUAUUGGAAGAAGAUGACGACGAUGAUGGAGAAGUGAGGGAGGUAGCGCCAACUAUGCGGAGGGAUAGAAGUGGUGCUCCUUCAAUGCGAGAAGCAUGACGGAGAUGUUCAGCUAGGGCCAGAAUACCAGAAGCAAAACCAUUUUGAGUUCGAUUGAAGGGUAAUGGAAAAUCAAUUGGGUGGCGUAGGCUAACUGAUCGGGCACCCUUGACUGUUACCACAGCACCAUCUGCCAAUAUCACUUUUUUCAAGACACCAGCAUCUACAUCAUGCUGCAGAAUAAACAAAAUCCAUCAGGUAAAUAAAUGAAGAACUUUAUCCAUUUAAGAUAAAAAUCUGAAUUCAGGUUCUCAUUGGCGUGUGUGAGAGAGAGAAUAUCUAAAGAAAUUAUUGAAGUGACUGAUUUGCUGUAAGAACAAAAGCAACUAAUUUAACUCGAGCAUAAACUCCAGUCUAAAAGUGUGAUGUUCCCAUCAACACAUAAGAACAGCUCCAAAAGGCAAAUUUCAAUAUCAAUAAAUAAGGCCAUUACCUAGUUAUGAUCCUAUACCAUUAAAAUCAAAAUUUCAAAACCAAUAAAGGUCAUCUAAAGCAUCAUACACCCUUCAACAAAUUUUUUGACAGCCUUCAACUUGCACCUACUCAGUUAAAAGCCCAAGACUUUUAGGCUAUAUUUGUGUAAUGAAAUGCAAUGUAAUCAAAUGUAUUUCUAGCAAACAUUACAUUAAAAAUGCAUUUGACUAUAUUACAUUUCAUUACAUCUCAACAAACAGAGACAUAAAAUUUAACCGCAUAGUAUAUAAACCCUUAAUUAGAUUAGUAAUAUUAAUUUCAAAGCCAAUCUGCAUAGAACCUUUGAUCCAGAUAUUAAAAUCAGGACUCCUUUCCACAUUUCCCAAAUAUGAUUUCAUAUCUAUCUACCCUACCCAACACAUUAUUGAGACAAUGCCAAUGAAAUCUUAGCAACAAUAAACUGAAAGUAUGCGUAUUCAGUAUACUUAUCUCCCACUGGUAUCCAAUUAUUCAAUUCCAAUAUCAUCAAUCUUAAGCUGAAACCCAAUAUUGUGCCUCACUUAAUGUUCAAUAAACAAAACAACAUUUCAAAUACAAAACAAUUAAAGGAAAAAAAAGUACUUUCCUAAUGAUAGCAAAUCCCAUAAUGCAUAAAACUAAUACGUACCGGUAACUUAAUACGCAUAUCCUUAGCAUCUUGAAUCCAAAUCUCCAUAGGUCCAGCAAGCUGAAAAGGAGCUAGGACAGGCAACCCAUGAUCCGGCAUCACCUUCUGUUUCACUAACCCAUUCUGAUCACCAGCCCUAACCAAUCCCUCUUUUUCAACUCUAAAAAUAGGCAAAUCCACAUACUCCCAUCGAUUCACAUCCUCUAAUAACUUUAACGGAAAAACCUGAUUAUCUAUUUCAAUGUCGAAUUCAUACGCUACCGAUCGACCAACCAAAGCAUCUCUAAUAUCAAACCCUGAAACCUUAAAAUCUUCCGCUUGAAACCCUAGUCCCUUUACAAUGGCCUCCUUCAAAUCCUAAAACAAUUCAAAAAUUUAUCAAAAUUAAACAAUACUAAACACAAAUUCAAAACUUAAUUAAUCUAUAAUUUGUCAGAAAAGCUUACAGAUAUGGCUUUGGGAUACGGCGGUGAGGGGUUAAUCUCCGGCGACGACACAAGAGCAUUGGAGAAGGACAGACUCGUAAGUAAGAUGAAAAUGAGGGUCAGGUAAUAGACUAACAUCUUCAUUCGUUGAUCUUGAUCGUAAAAACAACUUCUGUAACAUUCGAUUUUUCGAUAUUUUAAUGGAGCAUUAGCAAUGGCGAUUUAUAAAGGGGAAGAUACUGGAAUAGUGUAGGAGGAUCUAAGAGAUGAUGACGUGGCAGGGUCAACCACUCAGAAUUCAGAAGAGAGAAUGUGAUGUGGUUUGAGAGAUCUGAUUGGUUACGAUUCGCUGGAACUUGGAAUUUGUUAUGAUGACGUGGAACGAAUUUUUGACGAAAUGAUGGGUCAAGAGAAAUUUCCGCCGGUAGUUAUUUAUGUCUUAAAGUAGCUUAGUCGACGUCGUUUUUAAUUUGCAAGAGUGAAAAAACUAACUACCAAAAUGAAGAUAUGGCGUCGCCCGGACUCGAACCGGAGACCUUCAGUGUGUUAGACUGACGUGAUAACCAACUACACCACGACACCAUUGUGAUUUACAUUAACAGUAACUAAAUAUUAAUCUUUUAAUUAUUAAUUUUCAAUGCGCUUUGUUGUUAUUAAUGGACCUAGGAAGCCCAAUUUGAGUAUGAAUUUGGUUAUUUUUAUAAAUUAGGGAAAUUUAGUGACCCAUCUCCCUCUCUAUUUUUUUUUUUUGGAUUGAAAUUUAAAAUGAAUUGAGAGGGGGACAUAAAAUAGAAACACAACGAAGAGAACAAAUUUGUAUAAGCUCUUUGAAGUAUAAGUUUGACAAUGACAGUUACCUUGAUAAAUAGAUACAUGUGACUAAGGUUUUGACAUGGUAAAAACCUAAAUUGUGAUGUGCAAUAAUUUUAGAUUUGUCAAUCAAUUUGCCACCCCUAUGAAAAUUGUCAUACCAUAGAAGUGGAAAUUUUUUUUUAUGGUCGGAAAUAUUUUCAUAUCAAUUUACGUGUUGUCCAAGGUAAAAUUAAGAUUAGAUAAUGCGUUGAAAUUAAAAAUUUUCUUUAUAUAUUUGAAGAAAUUGCAAAACUUCUAUUUUAAUUUUAACUUCCCAUUAAUUUUUUUUUUGACACUACAAAAGUGGUUUAUAUAUUAUUCAUAUCAAAAAUAAGAAUAUCAUCGAUUAAAGUUGGAGGGACAACACCCCACUCCAAUAAAUCAGUUAUAGAACCAGCUACCUGUGAAAGCAUAUGAGCAGCUUAAUUUACUGAUUUUUUAAUAAAACUAAAAUCUAUUGUAGCAAUAUUAGAUAUAAGCAUCCUACAAUUUGAAAUAAUAUUACCUGCAAAAGACAAAUCAGUACGAUUUGUAUUUAAUGCCGUGACAACCAUUAAACAAUCACUCUCCAGCAGCAACACUCUAUGUGAAAAUCCUUCCUUCAGCCAACCGAGCACUUACCUUGUACCAAGCAACUUAGCCAUAAACGACUGAAAACAUCUCUAAACGACAAGCCCCACAACCUAAAUAGAAACCAUACUCACCACGAACCAGCCACCCCACACCUGCUGUAUGUGUUUCCGGACUCCAGGAGCUUCCCAUUAAUUUAUUGUAUGUUGAUUACAAUUCCUUUACUUCAAUCCAACUAAUUAUAUUAUUUUCUCUUAAUUUUAAAAAUAAAAAGUACCUUCAAAACGUAACGGUAGUUAAACUAAUUAUAUAUUAUUUAUUUUGAAAAUAUCUUAUUUUUAAUAAAAAAUCAAUUUUCUUACCGUAUUUUCCAUCUAAAUAAAAAAAAUAGAGAUGAGAUCCAUAUAUUCAUAAAUUAAUCUUUUUGAAAAUAUAAAAUUUCUAUUACAAACCAAAUAUCGAAAUCUUUCCUUUUCGUUUUCAAAUUAUUUUUCUCCUCAAACUCAACGACGUAAUUCCCUUGUAAUAUAAAUAAAUUAAUGGUUAAAUUUUUAUCUCCUGCCAUAUAUGAUGUCACGACUUCAAAUCUGAUAAUUAAAUUUUCCAAAUCUUUUUCAUGUAAUAAAAUAAAUAUUAUUAUUUUUUAUCAAUAGCAGGCUUCGAACUUAAGAUAACAACAAAUAAAAGAAGAUAGUAAAUUAUUACAACUUUGACGUUACUUGGAAAUUUCAAUAUAUGGUAAGAUCCUCUUCAUCAUUAGAAAAAUACUCCAUUGUCAUUCCUAGCUAUCAUCAUUCUUCUCUUUACAAUGGAUUUUUUUGUAAGAAGCUAAUUAAUUAAUGGUUAUAUGGAUUCUCAAUAGCUAAAAUAAAUUUUAUUGUCUGGAGAUUGGAGACCAUAUGUCAAAACAUCCUGCAUUGUCAUCAUGAAUUCAUGUCAAUUAUUGAAUUUGUUAGACAAACAAACAAAUAAAAUUAAUAUAUUAUCCAUUAAUUAAUUAACUAAUUAUUAGAGUGUCUUCCAAAGAACAAUUAAUCUUAUUUUUUGUACAUUAAAAAUAAAUUUUGAUUAUUUUUAUUUAAUAUUUUUGAUAUAAUUUUUUUUAAAAAUAAAGAUUUAAAUAUAAUAUCAAAUCAAUAUAUUUAGAUUGAAAUAUUUAGAGAACGUUUAGAUGUAAAAAUUCACUGGAAAGUAAUUUGAAAAAGUAAAAUUUCAAUAUUUAGUUGAUGUGGAAAGUUUUAUAUUUCCCAUUUCAAAAUGUGAGAAAAUUAAUUUUUAUGAAAAAUAAAAUAUUUUAAAAAUAUUAUUAUAUUAACACUUUUGAUUAUUUUAUCUAAAAAAAUAUUUUUAUUCAAAUAUGAUAAUUUAAUAUUUUUAAAAUUAUUUUUAUAAAAUAUAUUUUUUUUCUAAAAAAGUGAUAUUGUGUGAAAAUAUUAAUCUCUAACAAAACACAUUAUACAGAAUAUUAUUUGCUAGAGGCAUAAUUUUUUCUGCUUCAUUAGCAAACCAUGAAAGGGGAAAAAAAAGGAAUUGCAUGAUUGCUAAUGUUCCAUUAAUUAGCUGAAAUAUCCUGCCAAGGUAGGAUUUGAUAUAAUUAGUGUAGCAUCUCAAGUUUAGUAAGAUAUUUUUUGUUUUGAGUUAGACUCGUUCACGGUUUUGUUCUUGGGCUAGAACCACCUUAUAGCCCAAAAAGCCUUUUUACAGGUUGAUAGGAUGGAACCAACUCACAUCUAUCUUAGACAUUGCAAGAUAUUGUUCGUUCUGGCGAAUCAACUCAGGCCUUACGGCUUUAAAAGUUUCCUACUAGUCUAAAGCUUGUCAUUUUUUAUGUAUUUUACUUCCAUCUCGUGUUCAGAUGAUGUGAGAUUCGUCUAAAAUAUCACAAUCAGUAUUAAUAAAAAUACAGGAAGUGACCUUCUGUAAUUUUGUAAGAUGUCUCUUCUAUGUCAUCUAUAUGUCUUUUUGGCUAUCAAGCUAACCCUAGUAAUUGUAUGAGAUCUUUUCAAAUGUAUGAAUGGAGUUGACGAGUGGCCAACUCAUGCAAUUGUAUGAGAAAUUUUCAUUAGACUAACCGAGAUGUUGUGCAAUAAUUUUUUAAAGCAAUUUUUAGUGUUUUAACUAAAUGUUAAUUUUUUUAUUAUUUAAUAACAUAACGUUUGAAUUAACUCUUAAAAAUUAAAGCAAUUUUUAUAAAAUGUUAGCCGUGCAUGCUAUUAAAACAGCUAACUGUCAAAAAAAUUAAUCUUGCUGAAUAGACAAUAAACCCGAAUCUCCUGUAUUUCUCCAAUUUGAUGUCAAAUAUAUCCUAAUAAAUAAUUAUAUAUAUUCUACUAAAUCAUACAUGAUACAUAUGGCUAGAUCACAAUCUCUGGUAUGGACUAAAUGACAAAUUACAUCAAAGUCAUAUAAGACUUUUGUACAAACUUUAUUUAAUGAAUGCACCUAAUUAAUUUAUGAUAUAAUAAAAUUUUAUAGACUCUUUCCUUCAAUUUCUUUUUUUUUUUUAAAUUUAGGACUAUCAAUUUUUUUAAAGUCAUAAUCAAGUACCCACUAAUCUCAAAAUAUAGGCUUAUCCUCUUAUUAGCACCUACUAAUUGGCAAUAAUUGUACCAGAAUUUUGUUGGAGUUUGUCUUAUUGUUCAUCCUUCUUACCAUGAAAAUAUUAAAUCCAUUCUUAUUUUAUUAUUAUUAUGCUUUAUUCUGGUCUUUAAAUCAUUUAAUUGCUAUCAUCAACAUAGAUUAGAGGCAUUCUUCUAACACAAAAAUGUCAAAUUCUGAAAAUUUGUCAAGAUGGUGGUUGGAAAUGUGUACAAGACAUUGUCAAUUACGAAAAAAAAAGGAAGUUUCAUGAAAAAAGGUUCAAAAAUUACAUGGGUUUUCUAUAAUAUUUUGUCGUGUGAUGGUAUGCAAGUUUUUAACAUUGUAUUUUUUUUCCUCCCUUAAAAAUAUUGUAAGGGAAAUCCAUAUCAAUUUUUGAGAUAACGGCAGGAUUUUAAAGCUUCUUAAAGUACUGAAUGAUAAAUAAUUAAUAAAAAAGUUAGUGUAUACAACAUAAACUUAAAAUUUAGUUUGAAACGAUGAUCAUCCAUUUGCUUGAUCCAUGUUCAAUCCUCCACGAUAGUAUUCCAUUAUGUAUAAUGUCUAAAUAUUGACUCUGCUGUCUAGAAGCCACGGUUCACUUUGUGGGCUGCCUUAGGCGGGCUCUACUGUCUUGGGCUGAGAAUCGUAACAAUACGAUCUUGUAGGAAGGGGGUAGUGUCUCCCAUUAGUGCUUGGGGAUUGGCACGCCCUAUGCGAGUGUCUUAAAUCGGGACAUCAAGACCUACACCAGUGAUCCGAGCCGAUGGGAGAAGUGACUAAUACACCUGGUAGUCCUUUUUUUUCUUUUUAAAAAAAUAAACUUAAACUUUAAGGGUUAAUGGUUUUGGAUUUGAUAUUUCCUUCAGACACUUUGAUCAAAUACAACAGUCUCAUGUUAAAGACCUAAUUAAUUUAAAAGCAACACUUACAAAGAUAGGUUGGACAAUAAGUUUUAUGUCUCCAAUACAAGCCAAUCAUACUAAAAAAGAUGUGCAUAGUUUACAAGCCAUUAAAUUCAAAAUUAUAUCUUUUUUAAUUCACAUAAAGAUUUAAUAGGCAAAAUUAACACUGCGAGUUAUACAAACAGCAGUAGCUCUUUUCUUAAUUCACCAAAUUAUAAAAAUUAUUAUGAUUAAGAGCACUCGAACCCUAAACCUUCCACUCCUCACAAAAUUUAAAAUUGUAUCAAAGAUAAAUACAAUUAUUAAUUAAUUUAAACAUUAUCUCAUCUAACUCCCAUAAAUUUAGCAAUUAGAAUAACCAUAUACAAUAGUUGCCAUGGACCUAAUAGUUUAGUUUUAUGCUACUCCUGUUUAUCAGUAGCCCCUAUCUUCUACUUUCUACUAUCUCUUUCACUUCAACUUCAUUUUGCUUUUAAUUUUCUUUUGCUAUAAUAAACUCAGAUCUAUAACUCGAUGGAGUCUGGUAAUGCAACAUGUUCCUCCAUUGAUACUAUCGACGCAUAACGACGGAAACUCAUCUAUAUUCUUGCUAUGUUGCAAAUCAUUGAAAAAGCAAUUCAGUUAUAAGAUCCAGAGAAGUUAUUACUUUGACGUCCAAAUCAAUUAACGGACUAGUUGUUGCUAUAAAAAUUUAUAUCUUUUGUCAAAAUCAACUCCAAGCAGAAAAACUUAAUAUUAUAUUUUUUUUAGUUUCACUUUCAUUAUUUAAAAGGAUAUGAAUUUCUUUAUUUCACUAGAAAAUCAGCAAAUUUUAUUAGACUAUUAGCUAUCAAUAGUAAAGUUUUAUGUCUGGUAUAUAUACUUAUUUAUAAUUAUUGAUAUUAUAUAUUUAAAAAAAAUAUAAGAAAUAAUAAAAAAAUCAUAAAAUUAUUAAGCCAUAAUAAUUAUUCCAUUAAUGUCAACCACAUUGUUACAAACCAUUAGACAUUACAAAGAAAAAGAGGCUUACGACUAUAUGCCUCUAAAACAUUGACAAAACCAAACAACAAACUUCAACAAAGGCCUGUUUGUCUACACACCUAAAAAAACCAUUUUUCCCUGUUCAACCACCUUAGGUGGCCCUGAAAAGGAAAGGGAAGAAUAAUUAUACAUCAACCUCCCACAAAAACAUUAAAAAAAAAAAAAAAUCCCAAACAAGCUGUGAGAUUACUAUUUUAAAACAGGUGGGUGUUGAACAUGGUAAUUAAUUUAACCAUGCAAAACUGACUGGUUAAAAAAACCCUCCUGCAAAAUGAAUCUCACAGUAAAACAAGCUUACUGGUCUAAAAUGAUGGAGCAUUACAGGCCUCAUUUUGACUGAUUCUGUAUAUCUUACUCUAUAUUUUUAUAAAAGAGGAUUGUUCUAGCAGCAGCAUAGAACUUAAAAGAGAUUGUUUCUUGCAGAUGUGAGUUGAAACCUUGAGGCUUCUUGAUCACAUGAAAAACUUGAAAGCUGAGUGUAGAUUCUUCACAAGAUCUUUCACUGACAUCUCAUAUUCACUAUCCAUCUGUAAAAGAUUAAAUGUUCAUAAGCAUUGAUUGUUGUUGCUACUGUUGUUGAGCAUAUUGAUCAAAAGAAAUUAAAAAUUUUUUCUUAAGGUAAAUUAAACAUUUUUUUCCCAUAAAAAUCCAACUUGAGGGGGAAACAAGGAAAGAAAUUACCUGAGCAAUAAUAGUAACAUCAAGAGCAGAACUCCCAAAAGUAAGAACACUGCUAUUGAUGAUAUUAAGGUGGAGUUUCUCGACUUCAGCUAUAGUUUUCUCCAAAACUCCUUUCCUUAUCUCACAAUGGAUUCUUAUAAGAACAUGUUUGUCACAAAUUCUUGCUUCAAUUUCUGGUAAAGUUUCAUCAAAUGGGCCUUUGGAGAAACUCUCAUCUGAGGAAGAACUAUCAUCCUCACAAAAAAGCAGUUGAGAUUUCUUCACAAUAACUACAGAUUCCAUGGUUUUUCUCUUUGUUUGCUCCUCAAGUGUCUUAACUCUCUCUUGCAAUUGUUUCAAGUACUUUAUAGCAUCUCCAAGAACAGAAGCCUUGUCCAUCUGCAAGAACACAACAACAUAAUAGUCAAAUUAACACAAUCUGUAAAUCAAAUUAAUAAUUUUAAAAGAAUGCAAGAUGGUCUUCAUAUUACCUUCUUGAGACCAGGAACUAUAGCAGACAACGCUAUGAAUCUUUGACUAAGCUUCUCUCGCCGCUUUCUUUCUGCUAUAAUAUGAUCUUGGCUUUGAGAAAGUCUACCAUUGUUGGUGUUGAUCCUCUUAGCUCCUUGACAAGCCUUGAACAUAUAAUUUUGGUUCAUAAUAGAACCUUGAGGAAUGAGCAUAUCAGAAGGGGGAGUAGUGUUAUUGAUGCUUUUAGAACACAGUACUGCCUCCUCUUUAGGCUUAACUAUCGAUCCCAUUAGUUGAUUUGAAUUGGCAAAAGAAAGAAUGUUAUUAGGAGAAAAAGAAGGUUGUGGGUUUGGCAAAUUAUGAAGUGGAUUUGGUUUGAGUUGCUUCGUGGGUCUAACAAUGGUUGUAGUAGAAGAAGAAGUGUCCAUAGGGAUUUUUAGGUUAUUGAUCAAAGAAUGUUGCAUAUAAUUCUCUCCAAAUGCAGCUACCAGAGGUAAUAAGCUCAAAUCAUCAAUGGAGUUCAUUGGCCACUGCUCUAUGAAGCUGGGAUCCUCCAUUUCCUAUAAAAUUAAUUAAUUUUCACAAUUUUUAGUCAUUAUAUAUAGCAAUGCAUUCAUAAAUUACUGAAGAAUGUUAUACGAGAAACAACAUUUAAAAUAUAAUUUUAUACUUAAAAAAGGUAAUUUGUAUAAGAAAAUAUACAUGCAUAGACAUUUUCAAAACACAGAAACGCUCAUAACUAAAAGUUUCCGCGCAUCAGCUGAAGAAAAACCUAAUUAAUGAAGAAAAAGAAGGAAUUGAUAGCUGAAAAGUUUCAUUACUUACCAGUUCACUUAACCCACUAAUGGAAGAUAUCUCCAUUGGAGAAAAAGCUUCUUUCCAACAACCUAUAACAGAGCCUGUUGGCAAAAAGUUAAACAUAAUUAAUUAUCCUAAUUAACUAACAUUCUUUUACAUAUAGAAUUAACAUGAUUAAGCAAAACCAACAUAGAAAAAGUUGAUUAACCUCCAGACCAAACAAUAAUUAAGGUGCUCAAAAAACACAAAUGAUGUAUAUAACACACAGAACAAUAGUAUUUCAAUCAAUUAAAUUCCAAAAACCCAAGAAUUAUAUGCACCAAGUACAAAGUAGAAUUAAUGCAUUCCUUCUUACCUUUACAAGAAUGGCCAAAAGAGAGCUUUCUUUGUCAAAUCUCCACCGAAGCAGGAGAGAUUUUCUACUUUCUACACUUGUUCCAAUCUUUAUAAUAGCCUUUCAUAUUGGUAAUACUCUCUCUCUCUCUCCCCCUCACGGGUCAGUGAUGUGAAAUGGCAAUAGAAUUUGUUGAUGAUAAUGAUUUUUUUUUUUUUUUUUGAGAAAAAAUAAUAAUGAUUAUAUAUGGGUUGUAAACAGAUUAAUACUUUGAAACAUUAAAAUAGGAUAAGGAUAUAUAUUAUAUGUUAGUGGGUCGUUUUUGCUGACAAAAUUAGUGCCUAUGAUAAGGUCUUUUUUUUUUUUUUUUUUAAGACUUUAAGGAGAUUACAUUACCAAAUUAGAGUUGAAAUUUUCAUUCAAAGAUUUUGCUAAUGAGAAACCAACGACCAAGGCAUUAGGUUUAUCCUAAUUGGGAUUUUAAUUUCAUGUCGUUUUACUUAGUAUUUAUGUAUUUUAUCGUAUCUAAAUUUUAUUUAUAACCAUAAUAAAAUGAUUUUUGCUAUAUUUUAGAUUAUAUGUCACUGAGAAACUAACAAAAAAGAUAUUUUUUAUCAUUUAAAAAAAAAGAUAUUUUGAUAUAUAAUUACUAAAACAUUUUCGGUAGAUAAAUAUUAAAAAAAAAAAAAUGGUGGUCCCUCAAAAUGGUCUCGAUCAAACUUGCAAACCCCAUAAAUUAAUAUUUGCUGCAUUCUAUAUAGGCCAACUAAUUUUCAAUAAUAGAGGCAAUUAGUAAAUGAUUAACACAGUUUUAGAACAUGUGAAUUGGUACGUGUCAACACAUGAUCAAUCCAAAUGAAAUCAUUUCAUUCUUGCUGUUGGUGUGGUGCAAUUGGGAAGUCUCCUUUGAUUUAUGGUGAAUGUGUUGGAUUUUAAAGCCAAUAGGAUUAUGACACCUGUUCAUUUGGAGUCUGCGUCGUUAGGGCCGGUGCAGUCUGCCAAGCCGAACCAUUAAGAGGUUGGCUCUUGAUUACAACCAAUGACCCAGACCAUGAUGUGUACUUAUAUUUAAAACUUUUUGACCAAAACUAAUUAACAUCAUCCUAUUAGUAUAUUAUAAUUUUAUUUUAUUUUUUAAAUAUUUUAAACAUUUUUAACUCAUUAUUAUAUAAAAAUAUAUUAUUAUAAUUAAGAUCAUGUUUUUUUUUUUUUUUUUUUUUUACAUUUGAUGUUAAAAUUCACGACUAUCUUUUGAUUUUCUAAGUAAAAACUAAAUUAUGAGUGACUCUUUGAAAUAAAAUUAAAAAAAAUAAAAUUUGGUCAGUGAAAAAUAAUUAACUAAAAAUACAUGACUCUAAUAAUUUGUAGAAAAUUUGUAAUUUGUAACAUGCUUCUUAAUAAUUUGUAAAAAAAUGGUUACUUUUUAUAAAAUUGUUGCAGCGUUGCAAAAUAAUAGUUUUAAUACAUAAGUAUUUUAUAAUAUUUUAAUAUAAUUAUCUUUUUAUAAACGGUCGAAUUAUAAAAUAAUAGUCCCAUUAUUAAUAUUUUAUAAUAUUUUUUAUUUCUUAUAAAAAUAUCUAAGCAUUGAUUGUCAAUAUUUCCUAAAAAUGUACUUUUUUUUAAAUAUUACGGGUCUAUAAAAUAGUAGUUUCAAUUAUCCAUGCAUUUUAGUACUUUUUGAAAUUAUCGAAUCAUAAAAUCAUGGUUACAAUUAUAAUUAUCAAUGUUUUAUAAUAUUUUUAAGUAUAUUAUAAUAUACGACCGUUUCUUCUGUAAAAGUUGAUAUUUAUAAAAUAAUAAAUAUUAGUUGCAUUAUUUUAUAGUAUUAUUAAAUACUUUAUAAAAUUAUGUAUUGCUUUAUAAAGAGAUGUUUAUGAAUCAAUAUUAUAAAAUUUUUUAAUAUUGUAUAACAAAUAACUAUUUUUUAAAUUCAAGUAAAAUUAUCAUCAUUUUUCUUGAAUACGCAUCUCGUCAUUAGUAAUCAGUUUGUCUGCUAUAGACUUGUAGCUCCCAUACUGCCCAUGGCAUCUCCGCAUCCAAACUUGGAGCUCCGACCCUUAGGAAAUACGGGCCUCAAGCUCAGCUGCGUGGGUUUCGGAGCUUCCCCUCUUGGCAAAGUCUUCGGCCCUGUCUCUGAGGAUGAUGCCAUCGCCUCCGUGCGUCAGGCCUUUAGCCGAGGCAUCAAUUUCUUUGACACUUCUCCGUAUGUCCUCUUUCUCCAUAGAUAUUGAAUGCAUCUUCUUAUUCGUGAUUUACUGUGGAAAAUCAAAGGAAAGUUUUCAUCUUUGUUAUAAAGUUUGUAUCUUGUUUUUUUUUUGAGUGUUAAAAUUUCUAUAUAGAUGAAUGUUUUUGGGAAUUCGGGACUGUUGAUCACUUCUCCGUCGAGACUUACUAGAAUUUUGAAGUUCUGGAUUGUAAAUUUGGAAACUGGGACUAUGUUUUAUUAGCCAGGUUUAUUGUGUCUAUAUCAACUGUAUGUUUAUGAAUUCACCUAAUUUGUAGUUUUUGUUGUUGCCCAGUUCUUUUAGUAACUUCUUGUUGCUAUUUUAAGGUAUUAUGGAGGAACAUUGUCUGAGAAGAUGCUUGGUAAGGCACUUAAAGCCCUAGGAGCUCCUAGAAAUGAAUAUAUUGUGUCAACAAAGUGUGGGCGGUAUGCUGAGGGCUUUGAUUUUAGUGCUGAAAGAGUGACUAGAAGCAUUGAUGAGAGUUUGGAGAGGCUGCAGUUGGACUAUGUUGAUAUACUGCAAUGCCAUGACAUUGAAUUUGGGUCUCUUGAUCAGGUUAUUGAUUAAAAUUUACGCGUUAUCUGGUAACUUUUAUAUCUUGGAAUAGUAUUAUGAUUCUCUGACAUUGGUUUGAAUGAUAGAUUGUGAAUGAGACAAUUCCCGCCCUUCAGAAACUAAAGGAAGUAGGGAAGAUUCGAUUUAUUGGUAUAACUGGACUCCCAUUAGGAAUUUUUACUUAUGUGCUCGAUCGGGUGCCUCCUGGCACAGUUGAUGUGAUUCUAUCAUAUUGUCACUACAGUAUUAAUGAUUCAACGCUGUUGGAUAUAUUGCCUUACUUGAAGAGCAAAGGGGUUGGGAUAAUUAGCGCUUCUCCACUUGCAAUGGGGCUUCUUACAGAGAAUGGCCCUCCAGAGUGGCACCCAGCUUCUCCUGAACUAAAGGUAUACCUUAUUCCCCUGAAAUGAUCUACAAUUUUUUCUCUGUCAUUUUCUUAGUCAGCUUCUCCUGCACUAAAGGUAUAUCUUAUUCCCCUGAAAUGAUCUACAACUUUUCUUUCCAUGUCAUUUCCAUAGUUGUCAGCAUAAUACUCAAUAACAUAAUUGCCUGCAAAAAGUCUGGUUAGGCUUUAUUCCAACAAAAGAUGUGUUUAUAUGUCUGUGCGGCCCAUAAAUACAGUAGGCCAUGCAUCUGUACGUGCAUGUGAUAAUGCUCCCACCACCCACUCUCUCUAUGUGCAAAUGCUCAUCCGCCAAUGUGUACACGCAAAGUUCUUUUAGCUGCUGUUAUGAGAUGAUCGAUCUUAGAGCUUCCUUGGUGCAAUAGAGGAAAGGGAACUUGUGAUCAUGAAAUUGAAUUUAAGAUGAUGGUAACUGUCUACUUGACAAUACCCCUCCUUUUAAUGGGAUUAUUCAGAAGGCACCUAAACUUGGAUACUGUCUUUUGAUACGAUGAAGAACUGUUGCAUACUGAAUUGAAUUUUCUAUAGAGACAUAUUGAACAACACAUAGACUUGGCGUAUAUAAGCACUUACCAAAGUGCCUGUUUACCGUAUUAAUCAACAGUUUCAACCUGGACCAUUUGACCAAAUCGAUUCAAAGAAUGGCAUGAUUAUUUAUCCCCCAUCUGCAGAAGGCCUGUGAUGUCAUAUAUAUAUCUAAUAUUCAAGAUAUUGAAGAUUCACUCGCUCUUUCUCACUUGAAUAUGAAUUCUUUUGUCAAAAUUAACUAAUCUUGACUGGGUGUUUAUUUUCUCCAAGUCUGCAUGCCAAGCUGCUGCUGCCUAUUGUAAAGAGAAGGGGAAGAAUAUUUCAAAGUUAGCCAUGCAAUAUAGUUUGUCAAACAAGGAUAUAUCUACAGUGCUAGUUGGCAUGAACUCUGUUAGACAGGUACUUGUUCAUAGUUUACUGUAUUGCCAAAUUUCUUUGAUAUAUAGCAUUAACUUCAAUUUUGUUUCAAUUUCUCUAACACUUCACUGCAUGGUUUCAACCUUUUCUUAGGAGGCCAAGGUUGCAUUCCUAAAAGUAUCUAACUUUCUCAAGAUCAAAUUUCAACAUGCAUAUGUUGGCUCUUUUUACCCCCAUGUUUCAGAUGAUUAUGAAACUGUAUUUCAUUAGGAAGUUCUUUUUUAUAAUAAAAAAUAAUAAAAUAAUAAAAUAAUAAAAAAAAAAACAAGAAGAGAAAAAAGAAAAGAAAAGAACAAUUUUUUUUUUUCUUGCGGUUAAAACAAAAGAAACAUCCUAUACUGAUUGUAGUCCACUGUUCAAGGGCUUUCUUGUAGUGUACAAAGUCAAGGGUUCAAAUCCCGGCAUUUCCCUUCGUUAUCCCUUCAUUACUGAUGUAUGAAAAAGAAAAGAACAAAAAGAAGGUGGUGAUUGCUAUAUGUAGGACUUGUUAGAAAGAUUUCUUGGUGAAUAUCAAUUUAACUACUGCAUUGAAAUAGGGACUGCCUGCAUUGCUAUUUCUGUGGUUAUUUAAGAUAAUGAAAGUCAUUUGAUUCGUGGAUGUCAUCAUACUCGUUAGUUUAUAGGCUAUCGACCAUGUUUGUCAUUGCAUGGUCUUACCAGCGGCUCUGCUCAUGUAGAUAUUGUAACCGUGGCAAUUUGUUGCGUGGCACUGUAAUAUCUCAGGAAAUCACUUAUUUUUUGCAAACUGAACAGCAGCUACCCAAUUGAACUAAUACUAAUUUUACAUGCACUGUAUGACUUCUGAUGUUUACCAUGCCUCGGAUAACGAGGGUGAAAGUCUAUGUGAAUGCCUUGGGCAAUUGUGUUUUAUGCCUGAGGAUUAUCUUAAGCAAAUAGUUUAUAUUAUUUAUAAUAGACAGGUAACCAUUUAUUGCUGAGCUUGUAUUAUGGCCUGUUUGAUAUACAAAGUUAUACGAUGAUCAGGUUGAGGAGAAUGUUACUGCUGCCAUCGAACUCGCAACAUUUGGGAAGGAUCAACAAACUCUGGCUGAGAUUGAAGCAAUUGUUAGCCCUGUGAAGAAUCAGACUUGGCCCAGCGGAAUCCAACAUAGCUAACAUUUUCGCCGUCUCUGAGAUUAUGUUCGACUUGUAUUUACUCAUAAUUCGAAUUUCCAAUCUCCGACCAUUUUACCCUGAAUUUCAACCGCAAUCCAUUUUAGAUCAACAGAGCAGCAUAUUGUAUUGUAUACCUAGCUGCCAAGGAGUUGAUAGCAGGGGCUUAUCUUUUGCAGAAGGCUCAAUAAAUUGUAUGGGUUGUUCAGUCAUCUCGUUAUGUUCAAGAGGUGGAUUACCUCAUGUUGUGACCAAAUUAUUUACCAUAAAAUUUUAGAGUCAGAUUCCGGAUUCAAGUUGUAGAAUCUGUGAAUCAGUUAAUGCAUCAGAAAGUUUUUUCACCAUUUCUUUGAUCAAUUAUUCUUGAUUUACUCAAACUUAAACCCGUUUUCUAAAGAUCUGUUGGGUGUCAAUCCACGAAUAGUUAUACAUAACAGUUCUCUUAAAGAGUAACUCUGAGUUAAAGUCAAUCUAAUCUCUGAAGAGAAAGUCUAGGUUGGGUUAAGUCCAUGGAAUAUACAAGGGUUAUUAUAAUCCACCAAUGACAUACAUCUCUUCAAACUAAAAACCUCAAAUUUGUAGAAAUUUCCAUUUUAAGUUAAAUAGGAAUUUUCAUUCACUCCACAAAUCACUGCAAUUCAUAGGUGUAUUGUUAAUGGAUAGCUCCUGUUAAAGAUGGGAAUACAUCUCUUCCACAAUUCUUAAUAAACGAUACAACAUGAAAAUGGAGGAAAAUUGAAUGUUUUGGUAUGUAUUUCUAUUUCAUGGCAUUGAAUGUACAUAGAAUGAUCAUUGUGUUACCUAUAUGAACAAAGUUUACAUAUGAACAUGAAUUUAGAUAUGCACAAAACUACAUGGGUCUUGGCAAGUUACAAAGGUUAUUUCACCUAGCAAAAAGCAGAAUUUUCGCUCGCAUUAGUUCUAGCUGGCAACCUGCUGUAAUGGUGGCCAAGCAAUUUCAUCAUCAUCUGUGUAGCCCUGGAUGAUGAAAUCUGCACAAUUCUUUCGGCAUCCAUGGUUAUAUGGAUUUCGAAAUCGUCCAUCCGGACCACGCAGAUACCCAUAUCGAAUGGCAUUUGCCAGUUCGUUGGUGGUGAUGUUCCGAGCAAUCUGUACAAGAUGUUUUAAAGAUAUCCAUUAACACUGAACUUUUACCACACACCAAUUUAAUACAUUGCAAAAAUCAGUUUUUCACUUUCUUUCCACCAGGAAAGGUCUCAAAAAAACCCUUAUUGAACUAAUUGAUAACAUCCACAAAGACAAUUAUCCAGGCUGUUAUGCCAUAUAAUAAGCUAAAAAUGAUAUACGACAUGCCAAAAAAUAGCAGCAACAUAGAACAGUAUGCCAACAUUGAAACUUCAAACUGAACAUAAAACAUUUUUUUCAUCAAUUACCUGUGAUGCUUGUGCUGUGGUUAAAGUUGUUGCAGCAACGAAAAUAAUCAUGUCCAAUACCAAAAAGGCAACAACACCAAGAUGUUGAACUACCACGUAAUGCAUCCAUCUUUCAGUAUGCAGUAACUGCAUGGCAGUCCGAAUCCCUGCCAUAGCCAAAGAAAAGGAUUAGAAGAAAAAGCAUGCUCUAAAAUGAAUCAACAAUUAAGAUAUAUCCUAGUGUGGGUAAUUGAAGAUUGAUGGGUUUGUGAAGCAAGAAUAAGAUUUUUCAGCAAGAAACAUACUUUGAACUGCAAUGGCAGCGCUAAGGAAUGACGUCAAAGUUCCCAAGCAUAAAAAAAUAAAGAAAUCCCGUUUAUUCCUCUGCAAGGUACACAACAGUGAAAAAUAAAAAAAGAAUAGAUGAGAGUAAUGGAAAAGGAUUAAAACUUGAUAGCAAAGUCACAAAGCAUUUAAUAAUUCAAAGGAAAAGGUUAAAAGGCAAGGAUGCAUUUAAUAAGUGUUCUAAUAUAAUUGCACAGAUGUAUUAUGUAUACACAGCCACUGGAGGAUAGAAGUAGUGUAGAUCUCUAUGUCAACUUGCAGAAUGGGUAUGACACAAUGCUGCAAGGUCACAUCAUUCUAGCAUUUCCAUGGGCUGUCAUGGGAACAAGAGCACAUACACCAGCCAAUGACAUCCUCUCAUGCAAGUUUCCAAAAUAAUAAAAAACGCCAAAGAAUAAACAAUGCCCCUAAAACAAUGAAGCCAACAGUUCACAACAGAAACAUACUUAUUAAUGCAUCUUACAUGUCACAGCAAUUGCUUAGCUUAAAAUCGGAUGCCCAAUUUAUUAUAAUUUGGGUAGAGGUUAAUAAUUGGAUAAAAGGUUAGAACCUGUGAAGUGAAAUUUAUGUAUACCGAUGCUAAAAGAUUAGUACUAAACAAAUUAGCUAGCUAGUUUUCCACCUUUAUAUGCCCUUUAUGGAUGUGACAUUUAUUUAGUGUGGGAUUCUUACUACUCCCUCUCAAGUGCAACCAAGACUGGACAUCCAAUUGACGCUUGAAAUUUGAAAUCCUCACUCUAAAGUUGAAUCGUGCUUUUUCCUUGAAAAGGAACUUGAACAGGACUCACUGGGGCUAGAUAUCUAGACGAGAGCCCAAAUUGAAAAGCAAUAGGAACACCGCUGAACUAAGGAAUAAUUGAAUCGGGUUGAACAUGUUCUGAUUAUAUUAUAAUUUGGGUACAGGAAUAAUUGAGUAAGAAUUUAGAAUCCAUUGAAAUGAAAUACGAGUAAUUUGAACUUAUUUAGGCUUGGACCAACUAAUGCUAAAUGUACGGGGAUACCUCACUCUCCAAAAGCUAGCUCAAGGAAAGGAGGAUCGCGCAAGUCUUAUAUGUUGACUAAACACCUUAUCCUAAACCAAUGUGGGAUAAUUCACCCUCCCUCAUGCCCAAGCAUGAACAUCAUGAGCGUGAAGUUUAUAGGCAAACACAUUUGAGGGUGGCCCAACAUAAUCAAAGAAGAGUAAGCUUUGAUACCAUGUUAAUAAAAUGGACCGCGCCUAACUUACUCCCCAAAAGUUAGCUCAAGUCUUAUAUAUUGACUAAAAACAAUUUCUCACCUUCCCCACACAAUUAGAUAUCCAUGGGCAGUGAUGGUCAAACUGCUCAACACAACGCUUACACGUAGAGCAAUGCUUGGAGCGAACAGGUCUAAUUAUCUGAACAGUAAAAUGGAAACGGAAGCUAAAUUAGUCAAGAAAGAAUCUCAAUCCUUUUAUGAACUAGUUCAGGAAAAAAUAAGAAUGAUUAAUAAUAUCUUCAAUAUCAUAAUCAUAAAUAACAAAUCCAUUUGUCAUACCUUGCAGGUAGGGCAAAGUUGAGACCAAUUCCCCAUCCAUAUAGAGGAGUAGUUCAGAUCAAUAUUUAAUAAAGGAUCCUGCAUAUAUUGAUUGGUGAUCAGCAAAUGGUGUAACUAAAGAAAAAAAUUCAUAUAAUGAUAGUCACGAAUCUGAAAUUUUAUAACCAUAACCCCCAAAACCAUUGUUCUAAGAAUGAUACACCUAGAUAUCCAAAGAUUAGGACAAGAAGCCGAAAACAAAACAUGAGAUAAAUUGGAAAUUACUGAAAAUUAAAGGAAACCAUAAUGCUAUGCGUGUUUGGUUUGAGGGAGAAAGAAGGAAGUAGAGUUCGUGCAGAAAAAGCAAGAAGGAAGGACCUCUAAAACCAUUCAGAUAAGAAGCAAGGAAAGGGGAGAAAUAGAAAGGAAGAAAGAUGGUUUCAUAUUGUUUCCACCUUUGCCUUUCUCCAUUAAAUAUCUAACCAUAUAAAACAAUACAUUUCCCCAUAAACAAAAAGAAGUUGCACAUUCCUUCACCACUGGAAACACGAGAGAAGCAUGUUAUUCCAUUUUUUCCACUGUUUCCUACCUACUUUUUCUCUUCCCCAUUUUCCUGAGCAGACACGAUGUAAAGGCCUGUAAGGUAUCAUCUUUUAUGUAGCAUUUAUUUUCCUGGAAGUUUAAGGAGCUAGGGGUCUAAAUUAGGCCCAGAAAAAAAAAAGAAAAAAAAAAAGAGAAUCAUUUAUGGAGAAGGCCUUUCAAACUUCCAUCUGGCUGUGGAACAAGUAUUUUACUAAAACAUGUGAUACAAACAGUAAAUAAGACAUGUUACCAUGAGAAUGCAACUAAAAAGAGCAGCAGAAUACCUCGAUAUCUGCAUCUUUACCCAAAUCUUCAAGUCUCUUGAUGAAACCUGGAUCUCUACUGCAGGUGAUUGUGAAAGAACAUGAAAAAAAAGUAACUCUGCGAUAAAAUUCUCAAAAAAUCUUAAAUCUAGUGGUAUGCAUACAAAAGAGUUAUAAAUUCAGCAACACCAUAUAAAUUUAAAACGAUCACUCAAGAAUAGGCAGCAGAGAAAAUCUCAUUAUUUAACAAGAUGACUCAAUAGGCACCUUGAAGCUUUAGGUAAUUAGGUUAAUGACAUGGAAAGACACAAACAUACAGGUUGAUUGAACCUAAUGUAGUUAAUUAUCUAUGAAUUGCAUACGAUAAUAGAUGUUCUAAUGGAUCUCAAAGGCACUAAUGCAAAAUGGAUCUAGUAAGUUCAGUUCCACCAUCUAAAAAGUCCUUUUUCUCUCUUUUUUAUUUCUUUCUUUUUUUUUUUUUUUUUUUUUUUUUUUUUGACAAUAAUAAAUCAACAAGCCCACACUGGACAGCAGAUUUCCUUCAGUUUCAAAACCUAACAAGACCCACAAAUUCAGAAAUACUACAUGGGGUUUGUAAAGAACAGGUGAUAUUUUGACAGGCAAAUCAUAAGCCAGAACAUGUCAGCUGAUCAUACACAGUAAAAUAUAGCACUGAGAAUGAGUGAUGGUAGGAAUUCAAAAAUUUGUGAUUUUACGUAAUUAAGGAUUGAAGUUGGCAGUUCUACCAUUCAAAAAACACAAGGAAGAAGUAGAGAAGAAUAUAGAAAUAGAUAACAGGAAAAACAGCAUGCUGACUAUACUGGGAAGGAUGAAGCACAAAACAGAAACAAGCACUGAAGCCAAUAAAUAAUUCUUACAGAUAUAAGAAAUCGAGGCAAGCAAUAAGUAUACCAAAGACUAUUGAGUCCAUGUCAGUAGCAGCAAGAAAUUACCUACUACACCUGUAGAACAUAAUCAGUGAAACGACAGCUAGAGAAAGAGCAGUAAAUCCCCAAAGUCCAACAACAGCAGUUACCUUGGGAAGAUUUGGAGCUAGAAAAACAGUGAAGGAAUAAGAAUAUUAAGAGCAUAAUCCGCCAUCAGAACUUAACUUUGAACCAUCUCAGUUACCUGAAAGAACUGAGUUGAUGAAGAGGAACAUAAGAGCAAUCACAAUGGAGAAUAAGAUAGGAGCAUAACCAGUGUCCCCAAUCUUCCCAAGGCCAAUUUUGUCAAACCAGCGUUUGUUUUGUUUCUGUUGUGCAUUAGACUGAAAAAAUCAAAACAAACACUGUGAAAACUUGCCCAAUAUUGUGUAGAUUUAGAUGGUCUCAAUGCAAGACUUAAGAUUCCCAUGAUUGAGUUCAAAAACAGAUUAAACUAAAAAUCAGACCAUAUAGGAUACCAUCAAUUUUUAUAAAGUAUAAAGGCCAUUAAUAUUAUUAAAAUCUAUAAUUUAAAUGGCUGGAUAAGAACUAAACAUUACCAUCUCAGAAGCAGUAGUUAAAAUAGGCUUCAAUUAGAAAUGGUUCACCUUUAGCAGAUAACUGUUCGAUGCCUUUAUUGUCUGAAAUUAAUAGCCCUCAACUAAAUGUGACAUAUAGCAAUGCCAUGAUCUCGCCUAAUGAGGAUUUUUUUUUUUUUUUUUUUCGGUCCAUGCAAUAUGGCAAUAUACCAUAAGCGCAAGGAUAGUUCAGAAUUAUUCAAUCUUUCCUGUCAAAGUAGUAGAUAAAAAGAAGGAACAGAAUCAAAGGCAGAGGUGCAAGAAUUCAAGCUAUCAAAAUAGCUGUACAGCAUGCCAAUACAUUGAUUUUCUGGUACCAGCAAGUCAGCAAUAAAACCAAAUGAUUACCACACUGGUAAUAUAUAUUGUUCAAUGACAUACUUUUGACAACUAAGGGCCAAGACUCCCAGUAUCAGAAGGAACCGGCAAUUAGAGGUAUCUCUCAUAACUUUCAGCAUGAUAUACUGUCCAGAUCAAGACAUUCAUACAACAAUGUUGGCUCCUCAGGUCUCAUAUCUAGAAAGGUAUUCACAUUAACAGAAAUUGGUUUAAAUUUUGUUCGCAUUCAACUAUUAAAGGGUAAUAUUAUCAAUACAACGUACGUACAAGGAAAAGGGCGACAUGCCGAUGACCUUUAUCAGAUGCAAUCUCAACUGGAGUAAGGCCAGCUUUAUCUUUUACUGUCAGUUCCAGCUUUGUGCCAGCCUGUACAAGCACAGAACUUGCCUCAACAUUUCCUCUUAAUGCAGCCCAGUGCAAAGGGGUGCAACCUGAUGGCAUUGGAUAUUUAAGAUCAGCAUUGGUAUCCAGACGAACAAUAAAAUGAUUUCUUCUUUUUUCACAAAAAUGGAAUCAUGCCCAGGAGAAUUUAAUUAAGCGAAUUGGUUGUAGAAUGUUGUGAUAAUGUUCCUGACUUGCUAGUUUUGUUGGUUCUAUAUACAAUCAAAUUUUCUUAUUUCUCAAAAAAUAACAUCAAACUUUCAUGAAGAUUAUGCUAGAAAGUAAUCUCAGACACUCCAGAACGUCAAAAGUAUGUGCCAGGCUCAUGAUAAUGGAUUCAAUAUAAUCCAUUAUGAGACCUAAUAUAUUUCUUUCUUGGAUUGAUUUUUAUCCAUUAUGCUUUGCUUAUUUCUUGCUUUUAAUUGAACAGAGAGGAAAUGGUAAGAAAAAAUUUAUAUAGCUGACCCCAAUUAGUAUGCAACUAAGUCUUAGUUGUUGUUAUUGUUGUUGAUUGCAUCAUGUGUCUUCUCAUCCUGUGUAAAGGAAGUUAUGCCUAUUGUUCUUCUGUCUCAAUAAAAAGAUAUGAGAAGUUUUGUUUGUGCAUAUGAAUGUUGCAAACACAUUAUUACACAUGCUACAAGAAUCCUGUCUCUUCUAUUUUUCCAAGUGAUCUUAUGUACAAAACUAUUGAACCACGCAGACUCCAUUUUCAUUAUUUCUCUUUCUUUUAGAAGAAAUAUACAAAACAUUGUAAUUGUUCCCUCAUUCAAAUAAAUUCUAACUGGUUCCUUUUCACCCCAAGCACCAAAAAUCAUGUUCCAGAUUGUUACUUCAACUUUCCAGUUUGAUAUGCUCUGAAUUAAUUUAUCCCUUUUAAUUUUUUAUGAACGUCAUGCGUCAUAAAUGAUACCAUUUAAACAGUGAAAAGGGGAUAACUUUGGAUGUUAGAAAACCCAGAAUAGGAUACAUAGAAUUGGAGAAUGAAACUGCAGUUUAUCUACUUAAGGCAGUGAUGGUUCCACGACUCCAGUCACAUGCAAUUUAGAGGCAAUAAUAAUUAAUAAAUGUAAGAUAAAUUAAAUUAACAAAGAUAAAAAGAGAAAUGCAUUUUUGCCAUGUAUACCUUCUUUAUCUUGUCUUCCUUGCCUUGCAUCUCUAAAUAGAAGUAAUCUUACGGUGUCAGCAUAACCCUUGUAUGCAGCCCUGAUAGAUAGAAUCGCAAGAAUAAGCUUCCCACUCAUACAUUCUCACAGUUUAAAAAAAAAAAAAAAAAAAAAACAAAACUAAAGCAAAUCAGAUAAUAACUUUAAAUAAAAAAAAACACNNNNNNNNNNNNNNNNNNNNNNNNNNNNNNNNNNNNNNNNNNNNNNNNNNNNNNNNNNNNNNNNNNNNNNNNNNNNNNNNNNNNNNNNNNNNNNNNNNNNNAAAAAAAAAAAAAAAAAAAAAACACGAAUCUAGAGCAUAUCAGAUCAUAACUUUAAGUAAUAAAAAUCGCCUCAUAACACCUUGUAAUACCACUCACAGGUGAAAGUUUCAUCUUACUAUGUGAUGUAGCAGCAGAGAAUUUAAAACAUUUUGGAUACAAAUUGAUUAACAAAGGAGUGCCAUCACUUGACUUCUACAUUGAAUGCAAACUAAUAGGACAAAUGUCCAGCACUUAGGAUGUGUUUGGUUGAGCUUAUUGUAGAUAAAAAGAAAAUAAGUUUGUUUGUUUUGUCUUUUUAAAUCAGCAGCUUAUCUGAAUAUAAAGGCAAAAAAUUAGCUGAUUCAAAAAGCUAAAUUUUCUUAGCUUAUUCAGUAAGUUGUAUAGCUUUUUUGACCAGAAGACAAAAAUAUAUGCACCUGAUAUUUAAAAAUCACAAAUUAUAUCAUAAUAUGUAAGGGACUUUAUAUUGGAUAUAAUUUUAACUUUAUAUUUUACUAUGUUGAGCCAUAUGCUUCAAGAAAAGCGGAUAUAAUUUAACUUUAUAUUUUUAUUAUAUAGUGAAUUAUAGAUGAUGUGUUUUAAUUUUAUAUUUUGUAGUGAAUUUUUUAAGUUAUUAUGAACUAUUUUUAACUUUUACAUAAUUAAUUUAUAACAUUCAUCAUUAAAUUAAAUUUGUAUAUGAACAAUAUACAUUUAUAUCGUUUACAAUCUUAUUAUGUUAAUAGUUGAAUAAUAAAUUAAAUUUGUAUGUUUGGCUUUAUUUUAUUUAAUAUAAUGUCAAUUUUAUUAUUAUGUAAAAAUACAUAAUAUAUGAAAAUAGAGAAGGUCAAAUAUAAAAAAUUACACUCAUUCAGAUUAUUCAGAUAUAUCAUUUACCAAACAAUCUUAAUCAUUAAGCAAUAAGUUCUUAAUGUCAUCCUUAAUCAUUUAGUUCAAUAAAUUGUUGAUUCAAAUUCAGCAUUCAGUCCAAACAAACAACCUCUUAAUCAACAGUGAAAAAGCUUUCAUAGAAGAAUGCAAAAGAAGUUGUAUGCUUACAAGCGUGUAGUUAUAAGUACUAGGACAAGAUGAAUUGCGAUAAAAAGCAGACAAAAAAAAACGAAAACCUACAACAAAUAUCUAAACAAUUCCAAGAGAUAUGAAUGCACAAAGGGAAUUAGAAAAACCUCAAGUUUCUAAUCUAACCAUAUACAGUUCUCAUGAUACAUGAGGAAGGCAUAAUAAAAGUACCAUUUCACCCCAUACAUUUCAAUUUUGUAGCACAAAAUAUCAUUUCACACCAAUGGUCAACUAUGUAUUACCACAUAUUUUGAACUUCAACAUAUUAUUUUAUCUUAAGGAUACCAACCUCAACUGUGUUAAGAUACUAAACAGAUAAUAAUUAAAACGAACAACUCCUACUAUGUUUGAUAAUUAUUCUGCUACUUGCACAAUAAAUUUUGGCAUGUGUAUGGACUCAAACAUAAUUCCGCUCAAUUGAGAAUAGGCAUAGGAAAGGGAUGAGAGUGGCAGUUUUUGAAAGGCAGGUACCAGAUGAAAUAAGAGUAAGAGUGAAAUAAAAGUAUCCACAAGUCCUUAAACCAUAAUUAUUUUAGAUACCAGUGAAGAGGGCUUCUUCCAUCAUUAUCUGGUGCAUCAAAAUCCGCAUGAUACUUAGCAACAAUGAGAUUUAAGAAAGCUGUCUGUCCAUACUGAGCAGCAACAUGAACUGCCUGCAGCAGACAAAUCAAUAAGAAAGCAAACUUUUAGAAAAGCAAAUUUCGAAAAAAUAAUAACAUAAAUGUGGAAAUCCAGAGCGUUAAAGAAAAUAUAAGAAAAAUAGUUAAAAAAUAAAAUAGCCUUAGCUAAUUCCUUAUGGAGGGUGAGAACUUUAUUCUCAAGCAGAGCAUGUUUUCAGCAAUGCUAAAUGGUGUCAUACUGGACCCAACAUGCAUAUGAUCUCAACAUACUGAGAGGUGCACAUCAAGCAAACUAAGUAUUUGUCAAUUGAUUAUAUUUCAGCUGGAAGAAACUUGAAAGAUCAUUCAACUACCUAAAUCGAGAACUGGCAAGAAUUCAGCUCAAAGUAACCCUCCCUCUUUUCAUUGACCUAGGGACAAGUCCUAUGAAUUGAAGAGAUUAAGCAUAAACUACAGCACAAUAAAUUUCUACAAAAUAUCCACUCCACAUGGUCAAAAACUUCCGACCUAAAGUUCCUCAAAUGACAAAGCCCUUAUUGGUGCUUAAGCGCAAGCCAAAGGUAAGCAAUUAAAACAUUCUAAAAACUUCAAUCAAAUCAGAAUAACACCAUAGUGUGUUCUGAGUUUCUCAACAUUCAAUGACACGUAUCUUGAAUGGACUGUCUAACAACAAAUUGAAGAAGGUAAGCCACAUGUCAAAACAUAUUAUAUUACAUUUUAUAUAAUAAGUAAAUUAUGUGAUAUACAUAACUUGUCGGAAGCAGAAGGAAUAGAAUGCAUGCAGCAUUACGAUCAAAGUUUUAUGAGAUCUCCUUUCUACUAAGCAACCUACAUAUCUGAUUAACUGUCCAUAUGGUCUAGUGUGUAUAUAAAUAUGAAUAAAAUAAAUAAAAAGACAUAAAUUGUCGAAAUAGAGAAAAAUUUACCCGAUAACCAUUUAAAUCAGCUGCCUCAACUCGAGCCCCAUUUUGCACCAACACAUCUGCUACAGAAAUUGAACCCCUAACUGCAGCCCAAUGCAAAGCUGUCUGCUGCAUAUUAUCGGUUGCAUUCACAUCACCCCCAUGCUUCAUCAGCACAAACAGAGACAUAUAACUGAGUCACUCGAUCAAACUCAGAGCAGCCAACUAUUGUAGCAAACCCAGAACAGUAAAAAUUAAAAGAUACGAAAGUUAUGCACGUACACAUGCAUAAACUACCUCAAUAAUGUAUUGUGCAAUAUCAGGGAAGUUGUUGAGAGCAGCCCAUUGAAGAGCGUAAUACCCAUUACCAUCGGCAAUAGAGAGAGAAGCACCGUCUUGUUCAACAAAUUUUCUCAAUUUCUCGAAAUCUCCAUAAGCAGAAGCUGAGAAAACAUCUAUCACAGGAGGUGCGCCAUUGCUGGGACUUUGCUGGGGCUGCGUUUUGGUUUGUGAUGAUACAACCUCGAUCUCUGAAGAUGCCAUGCGAUGCUUAGGUUGGGCAAUGCAUGCGAAAUGUAAUCCAAUUAGGGUUUCUAAAUAUUUGAGGUUUAGGGUUUAUCGCCCUAAUUGGAAUAAAAUGGAAAUGGUCGGUAUGGUUCUGUUCUUGACUUCUUGUAAAGAAAGCCGUCCUCUAUACAUUUAAUCCCUGGUCAGAGUCAAACGAUUAAAUCAAACCAUCCUAACUCCAAUCCAUAUUAUUCAUGUUCUAUACAUAUAAUUGGUGUCUAAUACUGAAAGAACUGUUCUAUUUUAGGCGUAAAAUUCAUUUUUAAUUGAUUAACUAUUUAAAGGGAUAAAUUAUUUCAAUUUUUGAUCCAGGAUAAAUUAUUUUAAUUAAAUAUAUUUAACUGAAAAUUUUUAUUAAAAAAAUGAAAUAAAUAUUUUUUUUUUCGGUAUAAUCAAAAUGUGAUCUCUCUCAGGAAGAAUUUAUAUUCUUACCUUCACGAGAUUAAAGUCGUUUACCUUGCCAACCAAUAUCUUAUUUAUUAAUAAAUAUUUUUAUUUAAUAGAUAAUACUGUUCAUAUAUAUUAAUUUUAUUUAUUUAUUUAUUUUAAGUACGAGAGUGAAAUAAAAGAGAAAUGUAAUAAUUUUAGGAAAGUAAAUGAAGUAAUGAAAAUAAGUUAGUUUACCCUUUCAAAAAAAAAAAGAAAAUAAGAUAGUUUAUUAUUAAUUUUCAAAUAAAAAAUUUUACCUAAAUACAAUUGAUUACAAAAUUUUUUGUCAAUUUAGGAACUUCACGAUAAAAAUAAGGUUAAGAUAUUGAGGGAAAAUAAAAUAAUCAUAUACUCUAAGAUUUUGUUCCCCUUUUAACAAAAUUUUUUUGUGUUAUAACGGUCAGCGAAUAAAGUUGUUCACAAAUGCAUAUUUUAUGUAUGACCAUAAAAUAUUGUCCCUUCUUUGUUUAUUAUUUAUUUUGUAUUGAAUGAGUUGGUUUUGUAUUGAACGAUUUGAACAAUGCAAGUUUGAUCAUUUAAUAAAAAAAAAAAUAGACUAACGAGAUAUUUUUCAAAGUUUAUUUUUAAAACUAGUUGCGAUUUACGCGGGUUAAUUGCUUUAUUGUUAAAUAUUAUAUUUUAUAAAUUGUAUAAUAUAUUAUUAAAAUAUCUACUUUCCUAUGGGUUGCAUUAUUAAAUUAGUAUAUUAUGUUGUAAUGAUUUAAAUAAUUAUAAAAUUUAAUAUCUUGUUUAGAUAAUUCUAUAUAGAUAAUUUAAAUAAUUUAAACACCAUAUAUUAUCGUAGAUAAUUCUAUAAAAUUUUAAGAUUCAAAUAAUUUAAUAUGAAUAAUAUAUAGAUAAUAUUGUUUAUAAUUUAAUUAUUACAAAUAUAUAAAAUAUAGAAAAAUUGAAAAAUUAAAUACUAAUAUAUAAAUUUCAAAUAAAAAGUUAUUUUAGUUUAAUUUAAUAUAUAGAACUUAAAUAGAUUAAAAAUAGAAAGUUUUAUACAAAACAAAGUCUUAACUAUUUAUAUCUAUAGUUUUAUUUAAAUUAUUACAAAUAUAUAAAAUAUAGAAAAAUUGAAAAAUUAAAUACUAAUAUAUAAAUUUCAAAUAAAAAGUUAUUUUAGUUUAAUUUAAUAUAUAGAACUUAAAUAGAUUAAAAAUAGAAAGUUUUAUACAAAACAAAGUCUUAACUAUUUAUAUCUAUAGUUUUAAUUAAAAAUUUGAAUUCAAAAUUUUUAAAAAUUUUUAAAGACCUAAUUUUUAGGUUUUAUAUAUAUAUAUAUAUAUAUAUCCAAUUAAAUAGUAAAAUAAAUAAAAUUUCAGUAAUUUCUUAAAAAGGAUAGAAUGCUUUUUUUAUGAAAGAAUACUUGUACUUCUAAAUAAUAAAUAAUUAUUACAAUAAACAAUAAUUAUAUGAGAGUGGUAAUAACCAAACAUAUCAAAAUCUUUAAAAAUACUAUACUCGAAAAUAUAAAAAUUAAGAAGAUAAAAUAUUAUUUUAUAAAAAAUAAAUAAUAAAUAAUUAAUAUUGAAUCUAUAAGUCAUUUAUUGGAUUUUCAAAUACAAAUGAACAGGAUAUGCAAAUAAAUAAAAAAAAAAAACAGAAAAAUCUAUAAAAAGUUUCUUCUAUAAACAGAAAAGGGAAAAAAAAAACAUAUUAGAGAGUUAAUUACAUCAGUUGGAAAAGAUAGUGAUAUAUUUGGAUAAGAGAAUUAAUAUUGUCAUACUUCUAUUAAUUAAAAUCUGAAAACAACAAUAACAUAUAAAUCAAAAAUUAAAAAAUAAAAAAACACAAAAAAUUGAAAUCAAAAUAAUUCAAAGAGGCAACAAAAACAUAAAACAAAAAACCCUUGUGAAAGAAAAUUAUUGAAUAGAGGUAUUUAUAGAUUGAUAUAGGUACAUAGAUACAGAUAAAAAAACUCAAAAAAUUUUAAAGUUUAAAUUUUGAAAAUUUAAUAGUUUCAAAGUGGUUUAUAUCUUGAGAAAAUAAUAUAUAUAUAUAUAUAGAAGUAAAAAAUCGCAAAAAUUUAUAAAAAAGAAAAGUAGAAAGCUAAAAAUUUAUAGCGCCACAUCAGCAUUUUUAAAAUAUUUUUUGUUUUAGGAUUAUAUAUAUAAAUAGAUAUAGAUAUUGAUAUAGAUAUAGAUUUUUAUUAGUUCACAUGACGAUCUAAAAAUGGAUGAAAAUACUUUUAAAAUUUGAGUAAAAUUGAUAGAGAUGUAAAAAUAGAAUGAAAUUGCAAAACCUCUUAAAAUUCAAAGUAUUAUAAUGUAUUAAGCUAAAUAGCUUGUAAGAAGUUUCAAAAUUAAAUUGUUCUAAGGUUAAAGAAAAAGUUAAAAAACUUUCACAAUGAACUUUUUAAAAUAUGAAAAAGUUAGGAAGGAAAUAGAGUUUGGCUAAGUAUAUAAAUUAACUCGCUUUAUAACUUUAAUUCUAUGUCAUGUUGAACUUUGUGAAUUUUCUAUUGUGCAUUAAAACUUGCAAAUUUGAUAAUAGUAUACACUUUUACAUACUAAUAGCACUAAUUUUUAUGAUUUUUAACUUUAUACGUAAACUAUUGAAUUUAUAUGUAGUUAAAUUAAUUUUCAUAUAUUUUAAUUAUUUAAUAGGUGUUUAAUUGAUGUAAUUUUAUAAAUUAAAGUUUUCAAUAAAAUAAUUAUGCAAGUUGAAUUGUUUAAUUUGUGUAAUUUUACAAAUUACAAUAUUUAAUCGACUUAAAAUAAAAAUUGAGAGUGCCAACAAAGUUGUAAUAAAAUUCAAAGAUGAAUUUAUAUAUUCCGUCGUAGAGUUUUGAUAUCAUAGUAGAAAUAUGUUAAACUUUGAACCUAAUAAGUAUUAAGGUUAGUGUUAGGGUGAAUACUUAUUAAUUAGAGCCGUUAAAUUGAAUGAAAAUAAUCUGAUUAAUUUUUUAUAAUUGAUUGGUUUAAUUGCUCGAAUUAUUAAUUUGGAUAAUAUCGAUUUUGAAGUUUUGAUUUGAUUAUAAAAAAUAAAUUUAUCUAAAUUCAAACAGAGGUAAUCUAAUUUGAUUCAAUUUGGUAUAUAAUUUAAUUUUGCUUGAAUCUAGAAAAGAGAAUAUACUUCAUUUCUAUUUCUUUUCAGUACUUAGAAUAGAGGUUUAGGAAUGACAACAGUUCCGAACUGUUGAUUUCAAUUAUAAAUAGGGUGAAAUAAAAAUUGAUCCGUUUUUAAAUAAUUUUUAAAAACGUUUUUGAAAUUAUCGGUUCAAUUCCAUUAUAAUUUAGAAUUGAAUUAAACAACCAUUUUCAAGCUUUUAUUUAUUUUUUUAUUUACACCUUGAGUAAAUAAUUAUGAUAAAUAUUAAAUGUUUUCAAAUAAUAAUAAUAAUAUUGAAAAUACACAACCAAUUUAUCAAAAAGUGUUAAUUUUAAAAAAAUACAAUAAAUAAAAAAUAAUAUCAAGAGUUUUUUUUUUUACGAUUUUCAAACUGAAAUGCAUAUUUAAAUCAAAAUAGUUGUUUCUAAUUUUAAAAAAUAAAAAAUAAGUAUAAACACACAGUUUCAAUUACGAUUUAAAUUAAAACGUUAACUAUAGUUUGAUGUCGAUUUGGUUUUUCAAAACCCGCCUAAUUAAAAAGACGUUAGGUGAUUCAUAUACUUGACAGUUGUUUCGUGCUUAAUAACUACAUUGUUGAUAGUUGAUAGAAAUAAGUCUCAAUUAACUAUUGAUUUCAUCGGUUAUAUUUUGAAGUUUUUUGAAUGACGUGGUAGCUCAUUUACACUUUAUAUUAUUUUAGAUUUCAUUAUCUUCAUAAAAAUAAUUGCAAAUGAAUUUUUUUUCUUAUAAUAAUUUUAUUUAUAAUUAAUUAAAAUUAAAAUUUUUCUUAAAUAUUAAUUUAAAAUUUUAAUAAAUAUUUUUAUUUAUAUGAUAUAUUAAAAUAAAAAUAAUAUGUUCACCUUAAAUUAAAAAAAAUAUAUAUAUAUCUAUUAUACAUUAUACAUCACAAUUGAAUUAUACAAUUAUGCUCUUAAUAGUAAUUAUACAUUUUUUUGGGUAUUAAGAAAGAAAAUUUAAAUUUGAAUCUAUUAUCAUAUCGUAUAAAUAAUAUAAAUAAUAUAUGUAUUUAUCAAUAUACUAUUUUUUAGUGUAUAAUUUUAUAUACCUUAUAUUUUAAUAGCCAGAUCAAUUAGCUAUGAGUUAGUACGUAAUGCUCAAUCAAAUCGUCGUUAAAGUGUCAAGCUAGGUAACACUAAAUACCAUAUAAUAAAAAAUAUUUUUUUUAGUGUUGUAUUUUACUGGAGAUUCCGGGUUGAUCCAUUAACGAUAAUUAAUAUUGGACCCCAAUAAAAAAUAAUCCUACUAUAUAUACAUUAAAUAUUAUAUUAUUAAAUAAAAAAAAACAUAAAGCAGCGCAGCCUAUCAAGACUAGACCACCUGUUCUUAUUCUGUGUGGUUCAACACAAAACAAAGACAAAUCACUCACGGUCACACUUCACUCUUACCUCUACCUCUCUCCUCAACCACGGCAAAUGGCGGCCGCUAGAGUGAUGGCAGCAGCUGCCGCAACCAACGCAACGACGUCGUGUGGCCUUCUCCUUAAACGACCAUUCGUUUUGAACCAAAAGCCUUUCUUCAAUGGCGUCGGUUUCUGCUUUAAUGGCAAAAGACAAUUACCGUUGUUCUCCUCUUCAAAAAGAUCGGUUUUGACUUGUACUGCUAUACAUAACCCUGAUGUUAAAAUCAAAGAGGAAGGCCAGCCUGAGACCCUCGAUUACCGUGUGUUCUUCCUUGACAACUCUGGGAAAAAGGUCUUUCGUUUUAUCUUUGCUGUUUUUGUUUUGAUAUUCUGCUGUUUGGUUUGCUGGAAAUGUGGGAUGUCAAAGAAAUUUAAGUGGGUUAUAUUUAGGUUCUCCUCUAUCUGUUGAUUACAGUGUCAUGUUUAUACUGAUACUUGUGUUUUUUGAAGGAAAUCCAACGUUUUGUUCAGUUAUUGUCUGUGAUUUUGAUCUUUGGUUGGAGUUAUAUUAUGUGUGAUUUUUCAAUGUUUUGAUAACUACUUGUGGUAAUUUAACUAAAAAUUACCUCUUUUUAAGGUUUUGAUGGUUUUGAUGUUCAAUUAAUAUUUUAAGAAACUGUAUGGCUCAGUUUAGGAAAUUCUGUGUCUGUGUUAUUUGCUUCUUUUUUUUUCCCCCUUUGAAAGACACUUUAAAAAAAAUAAAAAAAUAAAAAAAUAAAACUGUAAUAGUUUGGCUAAUUUUAUCAGUUAUAUUUAUCUGCUGACAUGUAUUUCUUGCUUGCUAUGCAGGUUUCUCCUUGGCAUGACAUACCGUUGCACUUGGGCGAUGGUGCGUUCAACUUUGUUGUUGAAAUUCCCAAAGAAUCAAGUGCAAAGAUGGAGGUUGCUACUGAUGAGCAAUUCACUCCUAUCAAGCAGGACACAAAAAAGGGAAAACUUAGAUAUUACCCGUAAGAUUUUCUAGUUUCUUUCUUUGCAUUUUGUUUAUUAGUUUACGUCUUGAGGAUGCUUCUACUAGUUGUGAGAACUUGGAAAUAGUAAGUUGCUAUUACUUGGAGUGUGAAAUUGGUAAAAAAUUUUGGUCGAGUUCACAGUUGUUUGCACUAGAGAAAGUCCAAUUAUGGAACUCUGCAUUAGGGAUGUUGGAACUUGGGAGUAUCUCUUGGCUGUUUUUUUGUGAGUCAGUGAAUGUUGACCGGCUGAAUGUGAUGCCAUAUCCUAUUUGCGAACUGCGUAAUUUUUUCCAUCUUGCUCUGGGAUCUGCAUACUACAAUUUUUAUCUUGCAUUUAGAAUCUUAUAUUAUAACAUUGACCACUAACGUUAAAUCAUGGAGAUAGGAAUUCUCUUCCGAAUAAUAUGGAAAAACUUCUUGAUGCUUUUAGCAUUCGCCUGAUCUUAGUUCCUCAAUAUACUCAUUCAUCUUGAACUUGCAUGUAGGGCCAUGGUUUGAUCCUCUACUAUUAAACUUUUAGCCUGUUUAUAUAUUUCCUUGGUGCCUACUAUAUAAAAAAGAAAAAUAAGUCCCAAUAUAUUGAUCCAAUUUUCCAAAAUUCACAAGUCUGAACUCUCUUUCUCAUUAUUAUACUUGCAUCAACUCAAACUGACUUUGCUUUUUCAUUAAUGUCGGCAAUGUUCUUUGAUCAAGUAUAUAAGUAUGAGCACUGUCCUCUCACCAUCAUUCUACUUCAAGGGUUAAAACAUCUAAUCCUUGCAUUAGUAAUCAUCAGCACACACUUCAGCACUUACAAUUAAAUUAAAGUGACAUAGAUGUGCGAGUGACUGACAUGGUCGUUCAAUAAUCAAUACUCAUUUUGGAGGUUCCUCAGCCACGACCAGUCUACUACCCCCUUUCACAGUAUUUUUUGGCCUCAUAAUGAAACCUAUGUUGUAUGGUAUUCGAUCUUAGGUUUGUUUGGUGCUUCAAAUAGUUUUAUUGGUAUGUUUUUGCAUUUUUGUGACGCAAGGCGCAUGGGACUUAGAUGCUUGUUUGUUUGUUUUCAACGCCAAUUUUUAAUGGAAGGAUUAAUAAUAAAUGAAACUUAGUACUAGAACAGAAUUGAGAUGGCAGUUAAAAUGACAUCUUGCCUUCUUCUUUUUUAAGUAGAUAAUAGUUUAUUGGACAUACCCAUCCCCCCCCCCCCCCCCCCCCCCCCCCCCCCCCCCCCCCCACCCACCACAAAUUAAUAAUAAAUGAAACUUAGUACUAGAACAGAAUUGAGAUGGCAGUUAAAAUGACAUCUUGCAUUCUUCUUUUUUAAGUAGAUAAUAGUUUAUUGGACAUACCCAUCCCCCCCCCCCCCCCCCCCCACAAAAAAAAAAAAAAAAAAAAAAAAGUUUAGUUUACUGCCUUUUACUUCAUGUAUAAUUUUCUCCUCAUUCUGCUAUAUUUUCUUUUAACGUACAGCUUGUACAGUGAUUUUACACACAACCUUAUAAUCUUAUGGACCUUUUCAAGUUUAUAUAACUUUCAUAUAAUUCUUUCAUCAAUAGAAGAAGCUACAACUUGUUGUAGUUGGUGUACUUUUUAUAUGAUUAUUAUUGAUUUCAUUGUGCACGUUCUCGGUUAUGGCAGCUUGUAUACUUAGACAAGCCUUAAUCCCAAACUAGUUGGUUGGCAACUUGUUAGUUGGAUCAAUAUCUUAUUUAAAAUAUCAAUUGUCUUCUACGCUUGUUUCAUUCUUUCAUGUAAUUUUAUCACUUUAUCCUUUGUUAUUUUUCUUCAGCUAUAACAUAAACUGGAACUAUGGAUUGCUUCCACAAACAUGGGAAGAUCCAUCUUUUGCAAACCAUGAAGUUGAAGGGGCAUUCGGAGAUAAUGACCCAGGUAUAUCAUCAUAACUUGUUUCAAAAUCUUUCUUUCCAGCAUAUUGGCACUUAAAUUAGUUACAUUAUUUUCUCAAAUUGUAGUUGAUGUUGUUGAGAUUGGUGAAAGACGGGCAAAGAUUGGUGAAAUUCUAAAGGUGAAGCCCCUGGCUGCUUUAGCCAUGAUUGAUGAGGGUGAACUUGACUGGAAAAUUGUCGCAAUCUCAUUGGACGAUCCACGAGCUUCUUUUGUAAACGAUGUUGAUGAUGUGGAGAAACAUUUCCCGGUAGGCUUCCUUCUCUUUGCUAUUGUGAUGUCCAUAACCUGGAUAACAAUGGUUUUCUAUCUGUACCAAUAUAACCAGGAAAAAAGACGUGUCUGUAUGAUGGGAAUCAAUUAUUUAUAGUUUCUUCAUUAAUUUCAGUCAACACAUUUGUUUACUAGCAGGCUAUGUGGCUUCCCAGAAGUUGUCUUUUAAUGGAUAUAUUGCCAUGAAAUGGUUGGCAAAAUAAUAUCCAGUCAUAAAUAACAAAAUAGUUGAUAUAAAUAGCUGGCAGUAUGUUGCAAAUGUAAAAGUACGAAGUCACGAUAAAGAUGUGUCGGGAGAGAUUUUAUUGGAAAUGUUGAGUUUGUUGAGUUGGUGGAUAUAGAGAUAGAAUAACAUCCAGUUAUUAUGAUAUUGUAUGAAGUGACUAAAAAAUGCAUUAUGCCAAGGUCAUGUAUUGAUACUGAAAUCAGGAAUACUGUAAUUAAUUGUUUACCAAGUAUACAACUAAUCUGCUGGUGUUUUCAUUAGGGAACUCUGACUGCAAUCAGGGACUGGUUUAGAGACUACAAGAUCCCUGAUGGUAAGCCUGCUAACAAAUUUGGUCUUGGGAACAAGGCAGCAAACAAGGUAUUCUUCUUCCUAAUUUUCCUUUUCUUAUUACAUGUUAUACAGCAUAGGCUUGCUUUAAGGUGAUAUAUGUAUAUGGUAUUUCCGUUUCACAUUUUGGACCCAAUACAAACUAGGGAAUAAAUCAUUCCAUAUUCUGUAAUAAUACAUACACAUUUGAUAAUUUAGUGCCUUGUUAAAUUGUAGCCUCAGCUAAAGUUUAGGAUUCUAGCUGCUAAACAAUAUAAUGCUUGAGACUUGAGAAGGAUACUGCAGCUCCUUAGCUAUAGUGACUGAUGUCUCACGAUUAGUUGUCCUUAUCUAAUGACUAGCAAUAAUAGGAAAUUCGUAUGUGGUAUAACCAUACUUGAAGUAUAAUUGUUUUUCUUUCUCCUAUGCAAAUUAGAUGUUUAUUGCUAGCAACUUCAUAUUAUAAAUGAUUAUUUUCCUCAUAUGAUUUACAAUGUCUUUGUGAUGAGCAGGAUUAUGCUCUGAAGGUUAUCACCGAAACAAAUGAGUCUUGGGCUAAACUAGUCAAGAGAACAAUUCCUGCUGGAGAGCUCUCACUUUUAUAAAUGCCUCGAACAGAGUUGGAGCUUGAAGUAGCAGUUGCUUUGGUUGUCGCUUGCCAGAGUUUUGCUUUCUGGCAAGCCAGUCCUAGUUAUCAACACUUUUUUUCCCAUUGAGUUUGAAUAAUCCAUUGUUUCCAUGUUUCAUAUGAUGAAAUCACUACAUUCCAGGUUGAUUCUAAUGCAUUUCCAUUUUCUAGUGCUUUUCUUGGUUCAAUUUUAUCCUAUAUUAUUUACUUUUCUUAGUUUCCACUUUUGUAUUUGUAUAGAGGAGGGAACAAAAAAAAAGACAAAUGAAAAUAAACUAAUAUUUCACAUUAAACAAUGCAUUUUUUAAUUCUUUUCUUUCUAUAAUUUGGAGAGAUUCUAAUUUUAUGAGCCUGGAGGAGAUGGUAUUUAUUUUUCAUUCCGUGGAUGUUUUCCUCAUCUUUUUCAAAUAAGGGGGAAAAAAAAUUCCCUUCCUAUUUUCCUCACAUAUUUUGCCCUUUCCCAAGAAAAAAAUAAUCCCAUUACCAAACCUGGUUUCCUUCAUUGCUUUUUACUUUUUUUUUUUUUUUGACUGAAAAGAUAUCUUAAUUAUUAUUAAAAUCCAUCAACAAAACAUCAUGAAUAAUAGAUGGAGGAGACAGUUCCCACUCCAUAGGGCCAGACAUAGAACUAGUAGCCUUAGCUAACAAAAGCUGAGGACAAAGAAGAAAACUCCUGCAUAAGGGUUUUACAAUCUAAGAUUAAAGAGCCAAAAUAAGAGAAAUCCUCUCACUGCGAAUUCAGAGCUUGUAACACAGUUAAACAAUCACCUUCAACCAUUACUUGAGGCUGUCCACCCCUAUUCUUCAACCAACUCAGCGCCUCUCUUACGCCCUAGACCUCUGCCAUAGCUGCACUAGAGACAACCCAGAAUCUGCAUUUUACCACCCAUACACACGCCUCUAUCGUUCCUCAAAAUCCAUCCUGCACCUGCCCGACCUGUUGCACUAUCAUACCCAGCAUCAACAUUUAGUUUGAAACCUGUAGCUGGACGUCUCCAUUUUGCAACUGAAGGUGGCUGGAUAUCUGCUUCUUGACUUGAGUCCCCUACCCGAACUUCCGUCCAAGCUCUUAAGAAAGUAUGAGCCCGUCGAACCACAGACCCAGACAUCGGUUGUUUACCCUGCCAAAUAAAAGAAUUACGAGCACACCAUAUUACCCACGCCAACAUACCAGCUUCGUUCAGCUUCACAUCAUCACAACAGGACAUUAACAACUGAAACCACUCCUUAAAAUCUGAAACCGCACUACCAUCCUGUCACUGAUCCAUUCCAGCAUUCCUUUGCGAAUUCACACGUAACUAGACAAUGCAGCAUACUUUCUGUGCUAUGAUUACAGAGUGGACAUAACAAAGGCACUUGAACAUUUCUCCUUCUUAAAACCUCAUAAACUGGCAAGAUAUCCGAAACAGCUCUCCAUAAAAAAUUUUUGACCUUUGGAGGACACCCAAAGCCCAUAUCUUCUUCCACACCAGCACCGGCACCUGUGACGACCAAGAAUUCUGAUUCUCCAAAAACUGAUAGCCGCUUUUUACUGUAUAAAUUCCCUUGGAGUCAUGAUACCAAUACCAGCUAUCCUCAGUAACAACACGCGAGAGAGGUAUAUGCUCAAUCAACUGAGCCUCAUGGGAAGUAAAAAGCUCAUGCAAUAACUCAGUAAUUCAGUAUCCCAUCUGCGGGUAUUAGGAAUAAACAAAUCUGCUAAGUUAACACUCUCCAUAACUGUCAAAUUCAAAGACUGAAUGCGAAAAUGUGGAGGGUCCGGCACCCACGGGCAUCCAUAGACUGAAGUAUUAGUCCCAUCCCCUAUCCGACGUAAACAACCAGCCAUUAACGGCUUUUGACCAGCCAUCAAAGAUUUCCAGAUAAAAAUGGGGUUUUUGCUGAGCUGAGCAAGUAAAAAAUCAGAUCUUUCAUAAUAGCGUGCUUGACAAAAUUUUACUAACAAGGGCUGUAGGCCUAGUUAGUAAAUUCCAUCCUGUUUUCGCAAGCAUCGCCACAUUAAACCUGGCCAGAGACCGGAAUCCAAUACCUCCUGCAGCUUUAUUACGACACAAAAUUUUCUCCAUGAGAACCAAUGUAUUCCCGAUUUUUCCUUUAUGUGUUAUUUAUAUACAUUACAAAUGUUUACAUACUCAUAUUAAAUAUAAAUUUAAAAUAUGUUAGUCUCAUAUUGAUUAAUUCUAAUUAUUUUGAUAAUAGUUGGACUCAUCACAAACUCAAAUUUAAAAUUCUAUAUUCUACUAUAUUUUUUUGUUUUCGGAAAAUAAUUUAGCUUUAGAAAUUCAUUUUCUAUUAUUUGAUUGCAAUAUAAAACUUAAAAUUUUGUUAAUUUUAAGACUUUAAAAUUUUUAUAUUUCAAAAAUUAUAGUUAAAUAUGAAAAAUAUGUAAAAAUAUACUUACGGGCUAUGACUCAGUUGACAAUGUAGAUUGAACAUUUGGAAAAAGCUCUCAAGUUCGAUCUUCACUAAGCGCACCUGCAGGGAGAGAUAAAAAAUCUCAACUAUAAUUAAAAUAUAUACAUAUAUAUUAAAUAUUUGGGGCCAAUAAUUGGUGGUGACUGUUAAUUAACUGCAAUUGAUCAAAAUGUGUAUUUAUAUGUGAAAAUAAAAUAUGUGUUUAUACAAUUUUAAUAUGUUUAUCCAUAUCUCUCUUUUUCUUUUUUCAAAAAAAAACAAAGUUUAUCCACAUCUAAUUGGAAAUUAUACAAAUAGAGACUUAAUUAUCAACCAUACCGUGCAAAACAGUAUAAAAGACACAGAGUUGGAAGUUCUGUAUUGUACGUAAUAACACAAAAUAAACGCAGAGAGUAGAUAUGAAGAGAUCGGCGGGAAACGCAUUGGUAUUGGCUGAAGAGGCUAGGAAGGCAGCCAGAAGAGCAAAGCUGGCCGCGCUGGCGGCUGUUGAAGCAGCAGUAAAGGCUACUUACUCCAACAUCCGCCGCCGCAGAACCCACCCUCCCCAUGCACUUCACAGCAGCGUUGUAAACUCUCAAUUGAAAUCCAGAACGACACCGCUUGCUUCAUCUACGUUCGGCAAGUUCUUCGGUCUUGUUGAUCCUCCUUGCACUGAAAGAUCCAAAAUCAUCUCUCAAUUCACCAAAAUGCAUGUUCGCCUGGUACUGUAACUUUAAUACCUUUUACCUGUUUUGACGGCUGACAGUUUAUUUGCGUUAUAGUUUCGUUCUAGUUUCGUUCAUUAAUGUCCUCCACGUGUUUGACGAAUGAACCAAGAGAACGGAUAUAGCUCGUAACUAGUUGAAAAUUUAUGUACUCUUUUUUGAAUUUUGACGCGACUGCUUUGUACCACUGUCUUGCAGAACCCUGGAAUGAGGAAGGACCGUUUGUUUGAGCAUAAAAUUAUGCAUAUGGUCAGUUCAGGAAAGAGGAUUGGACUCGAAGAGCUUACCAAGUUUCUGUCCAAGUAAUUGAGACUUUACAGUUCGGGUCUUAAGGUUUUUUAGUCUCCAUCAUUGCUUUGCUACCGCAUUUUCUUUCGACAUAUUUAUGGCUUUGAAGAUUGUUUCAGAUAUGUAUAAACUAUAAUUAAAACUAGUUGGAAUUUAAGCAUUGACAUUUUAAGAUGUUCUAUGCAAAAUCAAAGAAGGUUUUUAUUCCUCCCUCCCUCUUUUUGUUAUGGUGCUUUAUUUUUAAUUAUGGUUUGUCUGUUACAUCCUUUUGUCCCACCUACUACUUGAUUAAUCAAGUGAUAAUUACACAAAAAUAACCCUUUGGCCACAAAGAAAAAGAAAAUGGAUAAAGGGAAAAUAUUUGAAAUUUUUUUGUAAGAUUUGCAAAAGAGAAAAAAAAAAAAACAUACAAAACCCUAUUGAUAUUUACCCAAAAAUUGAAGUGAAAAAUUAACCCUAAGAUCAUGUGACAACAGUCAAAUCCAAUUCAAAAUUUGUAUUGUGUGUCUGUUUCUCCUCUUUAAAAACUCUAGAGUUUUUUAAAUUUUUUCAAGCUUUGUUUUCUGAAUAAUUGAAAUUAGUUUAUGCUGAAGAAACCAAUUAGACAAAGAAACAGAGAACAAACAAAGAGCCAGAAUUUUCAUCAGAAAGUUUGAUUGAUGUUGAAAGAGUAAUCAUUUUAACUUGUACCUUUCCUUUGUAUUUGAUAUGCAUGUUUUGCUAUUAGUAGUUUAUCUAUUCUGUAUUUAACUAUUGCAUUCAAUUGCGGCAUAUGCCAAAUAUAGCUGCAAGGUUUCGAAACCCAGAAGAGCUUUGCAAAAGAGAAAACACAUAUGAUUUCAUGUAAUCAUUAGUAUAUGCAUGCACAAUUUUAUGAGAUUUGCAAAAGAGAAAAAAAAAAUUACAUAGAAAACCACAGCUACUGCUUGAUCAGUCAAGUGAUAUUUACACAGAAAUAACCCUUUGCCCACAAAGAAAAAGAAAAUAGAAAAAGUGGAAAUAUUUAAACAUUCCUUAAGACCAGCAGCUAUGUUCAAGAGAUUCUUCAAAGCUCUUUUCCAUAGCAGAAGAAGAAGAAUCAACAGCAGGCAAACAAUUAGAAAGAUCAGUAGUGGAUGAAUCUUUAUCUUGAUUAUAUCUUCCUUUGAACCAUUUGAUUGCAGAAAACUUAACCUCAAAAAAAGAAUAAGGUGGAAGAGGAGAGGCUGUUGAAGGAGGAGAAGGUGAUUUAAUAUGGGUUGGAAGAAUUAGCAUUGCAGCUGUAGGUGCCAUUGUUGUAACUUUUGAAAAUUCCCUUGGAAAGUGACAAGCUUUAUAGUCUACUUGUAGACUGAUAAAGGAUAAUAAUGGUUGGCUUGAAUUAAAACAGGCAAACAAAAUCUGUGGGUUCAAUUAGUUGGUUUUGCUUGUGGGGACAAAAAUUAAAUGAGGUCAACACCAUGGUAACCACUGACCAGUUUGACAAAAUUUAGAAGGUAGGGUUAAUUACACUUUGAUCCUCAUUGUUUUAAACUUAUCAAUUUCAGUCUUUGAGUUUGGUUAAUAAUUAACAAUUCAAUCUUCAAUUUUGAAAUUAUGAACUUUUUUUUUUGUCACACUUGAAUUCUUG